rnacentral:rRNA from 1 species
GUAACAGAGGUCUCAAGCGUUGUUCGGAUUCAUUUGGGCGUAAAGGGCUCGUAGGCGGUUUUGUCGCGUCGGGGAGUGAAAAUCCACUGGCUUAACUGGUGGCUUGCUUUUCGAUACGGGCAGACUGGAGGUAUGCAGGGGGAGAACGGAAUUCCUGGUGUAGCGGUGAAAAUGCGCAGAUAUCAGGAGGAACACCGGUGGCGAAGGCGGGGUCUCUGGGGCAGUAACUGACGCUGAGGAGCGAAAAGCGUGGGGGGAGCGAAACAGG